rnacentral:misc_RNA from 1 species
AUAUAUUCUGGAGCUAAGUAACCUAGAGUUCCUGCUAAUCCUGUUGUUUGGGGACCAAUUUCAUGGUCUGUGAGCCGAGCUAACCCAAAGUCACCCAGCUUGGCAUUAAAAUUAGAGUCUAGCAUUACAUUGCUGGAUUUGACAUCUCGGUGUACCACACACUGCUCCCACUCUUCAUGAAGAUAGAGCAAUGCUGAGGCCAAGCCAAGAGAUAUCUUGUAUCUCACAGGCCAUUUAAGAGGAGCCCUCUUGCCAAAGAGAUGAGCAUCUAGACUACCAUUUGGCAUGAAUUCAUAAACAAGUAGAAACUCACCUUUAUCAUGGCACCAACCCAAGAGUUGAACCAGAUUCCGGUGUCUCAAUUGGCCAAUGGUUUUCACCUCAGUAAUAUACUCCUUUUUACCUUGUCUAGAUCCUCUUGAAAUUUUCUUCACAGCAAUUGCCAAGUCCAUAUCAAUUAAGUAUCCCUUGUAAACAGCACCAAACCCUCCUUUCCCCAGCAUCCUUUCUUCCGAGAAGUUAUUGGUAGCUGAAACGAGAUCUUCAUAAGGAAACCUUCUAGGUCCAGCUCUUCUUUCAAGGUCUUCAUUGACUGACGUCAAGUUCCUUUCCUCCCCCUUUUUCCUUGCCAUCAUCUGUUUCUUCCUCCUCCUGAAAGAAAUCAAAAUUCCUACGAUCGUCCCACCUGCUAGAACACAUACUGAAACUCCAACACCAACUAUUAUUCUGGUCCUCUUUGAACUGUUUCCAUUUUUUCCCUGGAAAUUCAAACUAGAAUUGAAUUCCCAGGAUUGAAGUUGGUGUCGUUCUCCGUAUUGACCUGUAGCAGCUGAAAACCCAAUAGUAACCCAUUCCGGCAAAACCUCCUUCAGAUCAAUUAUGUAAAACAAACUAGUAUUCUCUUGAGGAUUGGAGGUUUUCUUAUAAGUCCAAAAUACGCUCAAAUUUUUAGUUUUUGCAUUGUAAGUAACCCAUACAUCAGCGGUGUCUCCACUGUGAAAGCUUGCGUUCCAGGCAGUAUGCACUGCUGAAGCAAGAGAGUUGUUGUUGAUCCCUACAUGCUCAACCAGAGGCUUGGGAUCCCAUUGUUCAUUUGGAAAUGAAUCGAACUCCACCAUAACGAUUUGGUUCUGAGACGAAUCCAUAGUUGAGGUGUUAAACAAGC